UGGGGAAUAUUGCACAAUGGAGGGAACUCUGAUGCAGCGACGCCGCGGGAGUGAUGAAGGAAUUCGUUUCGUAAAACUCUGUCCUAUGGGAAGAAAAGGACUGUACCAUAGGAGAAAGCUCCGGCUAAAUACGUGCCAGCAGCCGCGGUAAUACGUAUGGAGCGAGCGUUGUCCGGAAUUAUUGGGCGUAAAGGGUGCGCAGGCGGCUUUACAAGUUGGAUGUGAAAUAUUGUGGCUCAACCACAAACGUGCAUCCAAAACUGCAAAGCUUGAGUUAAGGAGAGGUAAGUGGAAUUCCUGGUGUAGCGGUGGAAUGCGUAGAUAUCAGGAGGAAUACCGGUGGCGAAGGCGACUUACUGGACUUAAACUGACGCUCAGGCACGAAAGCGUGGGGAGCAAACAGG
rnacentral:rRNA from 1 species